UACGUAGGGGGCAAGCGUUGUCCGGAUUUAUUGGGCGUAAAGAGCGUGUAGGCGGUCCGGUAAGUCCGCUGUGAAAGUCGGGGGCUCAACCCUCGAAUGCCGGUGGAUACUGUCGGGCUAGAGUGCGGAAGAGGCGAGUGGAAUUCCUGGUGUAGCGGUGAAAUGCGCAGAUAUCAGGAGGAACACCGUAGUCGCGAAGG
rnacentral:rRNA from 1 species